UUGGGAGUCAUGGUGAGAGAGGAGCUGGGAAAGAUAGUGAGGUAAUAAGAGGGAUAGCAGGGACCAAGUGGGGUGACCUGGGUGUUUCUCCCAGCUUUCUGUUUGACUUCGAAUAUAACACUCCCCUUUUCUUUGUCCCUUAGUUUAUCUCUUGGUGUGACAAAUAAGGGAGCUAGUCUCUAGUGGUGUCUAGGUGAUCUUCCAGAUCUGACAUUCUCUGUUCUCUGUUCUCUGUUCUAAGAUCCCUCCCAUCUCUGACAUUCCCUGUUCUAAAGUUCCUCCCAACUUUGAUAUUUCCUGUUCUAAGGUCCCUUCCAGCUUUGAUGUUCUCUGGUCCCUCCCAUCUCUCACAUUCCCUAUUCUAAGGUCCCUGCCCAGCUCUGACUGUUCUAAAGACUUUUUCAGUUUGGAUUCCCUGUUUGGGUUUAGGUACAGGUCAGAUUUGAGAAGCAAGAAAAGGAGAUGGGAGCUUGCUUAGGGUGACAGGAGACUGAGCUUCACCUCGAGGCCAGUGGGAACAUGCUCUGUGUUGUUUACCUUCCUAGACCCAGCCUGAGGGAGCCCUCUCACUCUGUCUUUUAUCCUCCCUUCCCUCUUCUAUCCCUGUCUGGCUUCCCUGCUCUUAGAGUCACAAGCCAGAAAAGGAAUGGCCCAUAAAGAGCCUCAAAGUCUACCUGGGGGUGAAGAAGAAGUUACGACCACCUACCUGUUGGGGUCUCACUGUGGUGCACGAGACGGAGAAACACGAGAGGCAGCAGUGGUACCUUUGCUGUGAUACCCAGAUGGAGCUCAGAGAAUGGUUUGCCACCUUCUUCUUUGUACAGCAUGGUGGGACCGUCUGGCCUUCUGAGCCCUCAAGAGUGGUUCGGCCUAUACCUGAGUCGAGGCUGGGCAGUGUGUCACUCAUCCCCCUGAGAGGCAGUGAGAAUGAGAUGAGGAAGAGUGUGGCUGCCUUCACUUCUGACCCCCUGUCUGCCCAAAGCCCACCGUGACCAGGUGCUGCCCCCUCGCUCCUCUGAUAUGAGAGGGGUCCAGAUAUUCUCAGUCUCCACGAGAGAGAGGUGUAGGCCUCGUGGGGAAGUCCGGUUACAGCUGCUCAUCCCAUCAAGACUCUCUGUCCUGGACUUUGUGUGUGUUACAGAAGACGAGUCUCAACUCCUAGGGGUCUGGGUGGCAGGGUUAGCUGUGGAGCGUUGGAAUGGCUGAGGGCAGACUAUCCUGUUUUUCCCAUUUUACCCUCUACCUACUCUUCUCCCUUCAUCCGGGACCUUUUUUAAAAAACAAAUAAUAUAAAUAUAUCUGUAUAUUUUAGCCUGUGA